rnacentral:rRNA from 1 species
AUUGAACGCUGGCGGUAGGCCUAACACAUGCAAGUCGAGCGAGCGGCGGACGGGUGAGUAAUGUAUGGGGACUGCCCGAUAGCGGGGGAUAACUACUGGAAAUGGUGGCUAAUACCGCAUACUAUCGGAUAACCCAUAUGGGAUUAGCUAGUAGGUGGGGUAAAGGCUUCCCUAGCCGACGAUUUCUAGCUGGUUUGAGAGGAUGAACAGCGAGAAUGUAACUGAGACACGGCCCGGACUCCUACGGAGGCAGCAGUGAGGAAUAUUGCACAAUGGGCGCAAGCCUGAUGCAGCCAUGCCGCGUGUAUGAAGAAGGCCUUAGGGUUGUAAAGUACUUUCAGCGGGGAGGCGUUACCCGCAGAAGAAACACCGGCUAACUCCGUGCCAGCAGCCGCGGUAAAUC